rnacentral:lncRNA from 1 species
AUUUGAGGUUCUUUUUGUAGGUCUCCAAUUGUGAUCCAGAUAUCCAACUUGAAGUUAUAGAUAUACACAUUGUGUCUUAUUACUUGAAGAUUACUGCAAACACAAUCAAUUCAAGAGAGCAAUUUAGAUCAGGUAGUUUGUCUUCGUUACACAUGCAAUGCAUUGUUCUUGUACAGUUGUACUAUCUACAGUUUACUUUUGGAUUCAUGGUUACACUUUGAAAGUUCGUUUGAUCAGCAAGGUUUAGGGAUGGUGAUGAGUCCUGCUCUGAGUCGUGUUUGGCCUUAUAGUAUAAUAGGGUCUGCCCGUCAGGUCCAUAGUUGAGUCAUUCACAAGUCGCCAAGUAUACUAUUGAAGUUUUGCAAAAACCAUGGUAUUGCUUUGGGGAAUUCUAGUGAUUCAUGGUUACACUUUGUUAUUAUCAAUUUUAUGAACUUCCUAGUCUUUAAUUUUGCCACAACUGCACUUAUUUGCUUUGGCCAUUUCUAGUGAUUUGCUAUAGUGCAGUAGCAGAACAGUUCAAAACUUUUUGUAUCCAAUGGUGGAAGGAUGGGAUUCUUCCUGUUGUCACUUACAAUGAUGGUAACAAUUGCUACACUAUUGGAGGAGGAACCAACAACCGUGACAUUGCACAGAAUGGUGGUGAACUCAGAGGCUCAGAGGAUCGCCCAAAGAUUUUGGCAUUACACUGACUGAAGGGUAGUUUGACAACAACCACUUAAAAUGCAAGUCGAUCUGCAGUUGGCAUUGCAUGCCUUCCGCCCUCUGCUUUGCAAUAGCUGUAGCACAGUGGCAGAGCAGUUCAAACUUUGUGUAUCUAAUGGUCAAUGGUGAAUGACAUUGGAUUGUUUCUGAAUUACUUGCAUUGAGAAGCUUAAACAGCCAACUUAAAAUGCAGGUAACGACCGAAUUCUCUAAAAUGACAGUCUGCAUCCUGAUAUCAGUAGAUCUUCAACACAUAGAUUGGGAUCCGGAUCGAAGUCUAUCUCAAAGUUAUACAUUAUUGUGGAUUCAAUAAUGCCUUUCGAUAUGUGAAGCGUACCUUGAUGAGAAAGCAGCAUAGCUAAUGUGACUUGUUAUUGGGAUUAGGUGGAUCAUAGAGUACAUUAAGUCUUAAAUUCGUUGCACGACUAUGACAUGCAAUGAUCUAAUUAUUUCCAGCGCUGGCAGGUGAUGUUAGUUUUCCACGUAUGACAUGUUAGUUUUCCGGCCAUGUUAGUCUUAAAUUCGUUGCACGACUAUCAGAACGAACUUCAUGAUGUUCAACUUCAACAUAUAUCUAAUGAAGUGAAAAGGCUCGAGGUGAUUAGUUACAUUUGACAUAAACAGAAUAUAUGCGCAUGAAAAACAAGCAUUAAAAGUAUAAAUGGUGUCAAAUUUUAAUUUACAUGGUAGAUAGUCAUUUUCAUUGACUGCAAAUUGUAUGUUUUGCAGAAGGAACUCAAAGGUUCUCGUAAAUUAGCUGAUUCUGACUCUGUUAUAAAUAAAUAAAAUAGGUGAAUCCCGGCCCUUUAAAAUUUCAUGUCUGUCUAGCUAUUUAACGAUGUAUACUUGCGUGAAAAAAGGGAAGAAAACUAUGGUUAUAUAUCGGUAAUACAUGCACCUCUAGUUUCAAAUUUAGGAUUUAUCAUCUGACAUGCUGCAAUGUAGGCAUAUUCAUGGGUUGAUCAGAAUGGGGAAGUCAUUUCUGAAGCUUGCACUUUCAAAAUUUGAUCAACAAGCUUUAGGGACGGCAACGGGUCUGGGUUCAGAGUCUGGGCACAGGGCAAUUGGCUUAAGAGGACACAAAUGUACACAAACUUUAUACUACAAAUAGGCAGAUAUUGGUCUUCGAGAUACGUAUACAAAACUUGUACAUGAUCAUUAUGAAAGUGUUCCUUUAAUUAAUAUCACUACAUUUAUUUAUUUUUUUCUAAUUAGGAAUUUUAAUUCCAAAUGGAUUCUCUACAUUUUUUUUCAAGUCUUAUGGUAUGUUUAAGCAACUUAUAUGGAAAUUAUAAUUUACGAGGACUCUUUUAAUAUUAGUUUUCUUUCUCUCCAAGAAAGCUAAACUACUUAGUUAAUCAUAUUCAUAUACCAUUUUGUUCAUUUUUAUUAAACCCUAAUACUACACAACUUCUUCUUCUUUUUCUUCUCUUUGGAAUUCAUUCAAGUGAAACUGUGAAAGUAAUGGCUAACCCUC